GGGGCUCUGCGGCCUCGGAUGAUGCGGGACUCGGAGGCCAGUGGGUGCCACGGGCAGGCCGCGCAGAGAUGUGGCUCCGGCUUGGGGUGGGACCCUUCGUCCCCGAAGAGGGAGGGUGACUUCCUGCGGCUCCCAGGCCUGGCGCAGGCCUUCCAGGGCCGUCGGGCCACCCCUUCUCUCCACGGAGCUCUGAAAAUAGCAGGCCGCAGACGGCGGCCUUGUAGCCCUCGGAGGUAAUCCGAACCCGGCCAGGCGGCUAACACUCAAGGCUUUGUCUGCUGCUGCAGGACGGCUCAGCUCCCUUCAGGACAGCGGCUUUCUGGAGAGGGGGGGGGUGGUGGAGAGGGGCCGUUGGGGAAAAUCGAAGGCGUCCUCUCAGAGGUCUGCUCGUGAAACAGCGUCGUGCUGAAAACGCACCAGGAUUCCAACAGCCCUGGCUGAAUUCGCACCCUUGCCUCGAUUUCCCCGCAUUCCGGAAAUCUCUGCCGUCCAACAUGUGCGUCUCCCAGGUUUCCAACGGCACGCGACUCUUUCACGUCUGCCUCCUCAGACACGCAGCCGCCAGAUCCCCGAGGGAGCAAAGACUACAUGAAAUCUGACUCACUCAGCAGGGUCCUGGAAAAGAGUCCACAAAACCCACCGCCAAGUGGAUCCCAUCCAGGAUACCGCAGGACAUUUAGUUCUCUUCUUGGCCGUGAUAAUGAUUUUGAUGUGACCUUGACCGUUUCAAGGCAUACAGGUGAAGUGUUACGUAGCACGUUCCUCAGUUGAGAUUUGUCGGAUGUUUUUCUCAUGCUUAUUCUGGCGUGCUGGAUUUGGGGACGAGACCACAGAGGAUGCAGUACAUGACCUUCUAUUUGAGCCUAAGCAUUAAAAGGUCUUGUAGCUUCUGCCGUCACUGUCUUGGAAUAAAUGCCAUGGCCAUGCGAGCAAGCCUGGGCCAGCCUCCUUGAGGAAGAAGCCUCAUGCGGAGAGAGAGGAUCAGCCAGCAGCCAGCACCAACCAAGAGACAUCUGAAAGAAUCCAUCGCAGCCCAUCCAACCCCAGUCACAUGAGUCACCCUGGACAAGACCAGCCGAGGAACCACUACACUUGAACCCAAACAAAAUUGCUGACCCACAGAACCGGGAGCAAGUAGAAUGGGUGGUGCUUUAACCCGCUAAGUGAUGGUUUGUUACGCAGGAUCAGAUCACUGAUCCAGCCUCCUUUUCAUGACAUUCUAGAGCCUGAUUUUAUUGGUCUGAAGAAGAACUCAGGCCGUGUGAUCUUUCAGUUGUAUGUUAGGGGUGGCGGCAAAGAACUUGAAAGGUUAAGUGACUGUUUCAUUUCCUCCCCUCCUCCCACGACCCCUGACCUGAAGGCCUUUGCAACAUCAUUGCACAGGGACCCACGAAGAGCUUAGGCCCUUUGCCACCUUCCCACCAUGGAAGAACACUGAGCAAGACAGGAAGUGGCUUGGUGACUCAGUGGUCCUUUCUUCUGAGUCACUGGGUUGUCAGUUCCCCCGCUCUGUGGUUCUAGAGGGCAUUCCUUCGUUCAGUCAAUACCUUGUAAGCAGCAGCCAUGGCUGUGGAAUGGGCUGGUACAGGAUCUGGGUGGUUCGACACGGGGAGGGACUCACCUGUUACUCUCCCUCAGCUACGUUCCUUUAGCAUCUCAUGCGCAUGCUUUGGGGCUUCCUAAAGGCAUGGAAUUUCAGAGGCUAGGGACCUUUUUUUUUUUUCGGUUCUGCCUGCAGCUUGUGGAGGUUCCUGGGUCGGGGACUGAACCCACGCCAUAGCAGCAACCCAGGCCAUUGCAGGGACAACACCCAAGCCCUAACUCACGGAGCCACCAGGGAACUCCUGCAGAUCUGGGAACUUUUAAGGCCCAGGUAGUUCAACUUUGUCAUUCUUAAUCAUAUGAAGCAAUGAAGGCCUGAGAAGUUAAGGAAUAGAGACGCCUCACAGUAAAAUUAGGCCUAGAAUUCAGACCUCUUAUUCCAAUUCAGGAAUCCUUUACAUGGCAUUAAAAGGCCUCUCAAAGGGAGUUCCCUUUGUGGCUCAGUGGGUUUUAAGCCUGCCGUAGUCUCUGUGAGAAUGCAGGUUCCAUCCCUGGCCUUACUUAGGGUGUUAAGGAUCCAUAUUGCCUCAAGCUGCAGGGUAGGUCAUAGAUGUGCAUUGGAUCUGGUAUUGCCAUGGCUGUGGCAUAGGCCUGCAGCUGCAGCUCCAAUUCAACCCCUAGCCUGGAAACUUCCAUAUGCCAAAGGCAUGCCAGUAAAAAAAAAAAAAAGUCCUCUCAAAGCCAUGCCCUCCUUCCUCCUGAUUCAUGAGUCUCCCAGACAUUCUUCUCAGGCAUGAAACUCAUUCCAUCUUUUGGCUUAAAAUUCAGAAUUACACACGGAAUCUUUCUGCAGAUCAACCUCCAAAUGAUAAUGAUAACACCAUCAAUUCAAAAUGGAUUUUUUGAGCACCUAUUAUGUGCCAGGUGCUGUCUCAAUUUGGGGAUAUAGUGAAUAAGAGACACAAGGAAUUUACCUCUGGGGAAUUUACAUUCUAGAAGGCAGGUAGGGCAGACAAUGAACACGGAAAUAAAAAGGAGAAUUAGAGCCUAGUUAUAAAAGUAAACAAGAAAAUAUGAUAGAGGGACUGAACUCGGAGAUGUAUGGCCAGGAAAGGCCUCUUUGACAAUGUUGGAUUUGAGCCAAUACUGAUUGGUGAGAAACCAAUAACUUCAGAAUAUCAGAGAGCAAAUCCCCUGCAGUGGAGACAAAAUUAUCUCCUUUGAGAAAACCCAGAAGAGGCGUGUAGUCUCUGGGAGGGAGCAGUGAGGGGAGAGGAAGGAGACAGGACAGGGAGGGAGGCAGAGACCAGAACAGGCAAGGCCCAGAGGCCACAAUCCAGAGUCAGGGAUCGAUGAAUUUGAGUGGGCACAGGGGAAGAUCCUAAGUGAUAUGACAUGAUUUACAUUUUUAAAAUUUAUUUAUAUAUGUUUCCUUUUACGGUCAUAUCUGUGGCAUACGGAUGUCCCCAGGCUAGGGGAUGAAUCAGAGCUGCAGCUGCAGCCUAUGCCACAGCCACAGCAACACCAGAUCCGAGCUGCCUCUGCCACCUAGCCUGCAGCUUGAGGUAAUGCCAGAUCCUUAACCCACUCAGCAAGGCCAGGGUUCGAACCCACAUCCUCAUAGACACUAUGUCGGGUUCUUAACCCAUAGGAGCUACAAAACAGGAACUCCCUGAUUUACAUUUUUAAGAGAUCGAUCUGGCUGCUUAGGUGGAGAUGGAUACUGAGGGUCGAGACUGAAAUUGGGAGGAUGGUUUGUUUACUACUGACUCUGUAUAAGAUACUUCGUACAUUAUAUGUAUAAUCCUCCUGACAGUUCAAAGUAGAUCUUUUAUGCCCUUUCUGUGGACAAAGAAAUGAGACUGGGAGGGAUGAAGGAAACUGCCCAAGGUCAUGGAACUGAACUUGAACCUAGGACCAUCUGAUGGCACAGUGGGAGCCCAGCCCAUGGAGCACAUGGCCUUACUAAGGUGGUUGGCCCACCCCAUGCUCAUAAAGUUUUCUGAUUAGCAUUCUACUUUCAAGAGUGGAAUUUUAGAGCUAGAAGCUAUAGAUUGGAGGUUCCCGGAAGUCAGGCGUCACGUAUUACAUUUCUCCAUUUAGUCGUGACUCAGUCACACAGGAGGCGCUAAUACCUGUUGGAUGAAUGAAUGCAUUUCAGUCCUGAGAGGUUUUCUGGAGCACCUCCCACCUUAGGCCCACCAUUUUCAAUACAGGAAUUUAAGUGUCUUUCCCCAUAUCACACGACAGGGCUGGAACAAGAGUCCUAGGAUGUUGAAUCAUGGUUCUCGCCACCCAACCAUGCUGCCUCCAGCUUAUCUGCUUAGGACAGAUUUCUUGGUUUAACCUUCUGUUUUAGUUUGGUAAGACCUCAAGGUCAGGCAUAGUGUCUGUUUUGUACCAAGCACAUUGGGAGUGUGGGGAUCCUACAGGGAAGACCAACUUUGGGCUUGAAAGUAAGUUUUUACUCAGAAAAUUUGAUCCAGUGUUGCUGUGGCUCUGGCGUAGGUUGGCGGCCACAGCUCUGAUUGUACCCCCAGCCUGGGAACCUCCAUAUGGGCAUGGAUACAGUCCUAAAAAGAAAAAAAAAAA
rnacentral:lncRNA from 1 species